UGGUCAAUGAUGAGAACUUUAUACUGUCUAAAGAGAUGUGAUGACUUAAAAAUCAUGCUUAAUAAGAUUAUGCUGAGGCCC
rnacentral:snoRNA from 1 species